UGAGUACGAGAUGCUACGGCAUCGAAGCAGUCUAUGUCAUACUUCCAAGAAAAGCUUGCACUGUCAUAAACAAAGAAUGCCUGUACCAUAACCGACACAGGUGGGUAGGUAGAGUAUACUAAGGGGCGCGAGAUAACUCUCUCUAAGGAACUCGGCAAAAUGACUCCGUAACUUCGGGAGAAGGAGUGCCUUAUUUCUAAGGUUGCAAUAACAAGAUCCAAGCAACUGUUUACCAAAAACACAGGUCUCCGCUAAGUCGUAAGACGAUGUAUGGGGGCUGACGCCUGCCCAGUGCCAGAAGGUUAAAGAAGUUGGUUAGCAUUAGCGAAGCUGAUAACUGAAGCCCUGGUGAACGGCGGCCGUAACAAUAACGGUCCUAAGGUAGCGAAAUUCCUUGUCGGGUAAGUUCCGACCCGCACGAAAGGCGUAAUGAUUUGGAUACUGUCUCGGAGAGGGGCUCGGUGAAAUAGACUUGUCUGUGAAGAUGCGGACUACCUGCACCUGGACAGAAAGACCCUAUGAAGCUUUACUGUAACUUGAGAUUGAAAUUGGACUUUAUUUGCGCAGUAUAGGUGGGAGGCGUUGAGAAUAAUCUUGCGGGAUUGUUGGAGCCAUCAGUGAGAUACCACUCUUGUAAUGUUAGAUUUCUAACUUUGUAUCAUUAUCUGGUCAAAGAACAGUUUCAGGCGGGCAGUUUGACUGGGGCGGUCGCCUCCCAAAGGGUAACGGAGGCGCACAAAGGUUUCCUCUGAACGGGUAGAAAUCGUAUCUAGAGUGUAAAGGCAUAAGGAAGCUUGACUGUGAGACCUACAAGUCGAGCAGGGACGAAAGUCGGUCUUAGUGAUCUGACGGUGCUGAGUGGAAAGGCCGUCACUCAACGGAUAAAAGUUACUCUAAGGAUAACAGGCUGAUCUCCCCCAAGAGUUCACAUCGACGGGGAGGUUUGGCACCUCGAUGUCGGCUCAUCGCAUCCUGGGGCGGUAGUCCGUCCCAAGGGUUGGGCUGUUCGCCCAUGAAAGCGGUACGCGAGCUGGGUUCAGAACGUCGUGAGACAGUUCGGUCCAUAUCCGGUGUAGGCGUUAGAAUAUUGAGAGGAGCCUUCUCUAGUACGAGAGGACCGAGAAGGACAUACCUCUGGUGUACCAGUUAUCGUGCCAACGGUAAACGCUGGGUAGCUAUGUAUGGAGUGGAUAACCGCUGAAAGCAUCUAAGUGGGAAGCCCACCUCAAGAUAAGUAUUCUC
rnacentral:rRNA from 1 species